AUAGAUGAAGAAGCCCUUGUCUAAAAGCAUCAGAUCACAUAUGAUCUUGGAAGCUAAGCAGAGUUGGAUCUGGUUAGUACUUGGAUGGGACACUGCCAAUGAAUAUCAAGGUUUAUAGGCC
rnacentral:rRNA from 1 species